CGGGGCUGAACUGGGCCCGGCCGCCCUCUGCGCCUCACGGUUCGGGACCGUGAGGCCCCGGGUUCAAAUCCCGGGCCCCCGACCA
rnacentral:tRNA from 1 species